rnacentral:rRNA from 1 species
GACGAACGCUGGCGGCGUGCCUAAUACAUGCAAGUCGAGCGGAAGUUGGAGAGCUUGCUCUUCAACUUUAGCGGCGGACGGGUGAGUAACACGUGGGCAACCUGCCCUGCAGAUCGGGAUAACUCCGGGAAACCGGUGCUAAUACCGAAUAGUUUUCGCCACCUCCUGGUGGCGUACGGAAAGACGGUUUCGGCUGUCACUGCAGGAUGGGCCCGCGGCGCAUUAGCUAGUUGGUGGGGUAACGGCCCACCAGGGCGACGAUGCGUAGCCGACCGGGGAGGGGGAUCGGCCUCACGGGGACUGAGACACGGCCCAGACUCCUACGGGAGGCAGCAGUAGGGAAUCUUCCGCAAUGGACGAAAGUCUGACGGAGCAACGCCGCGUGAGUGACGAAGGUUUUCGGAUCGUAAAACUCUGUUGUGAGGGAAGAACAAGUACCACUUAACUACUGGUACCUUGACGGUACCUCACCAGAAAGCCACGGCUAACUACGUGCCAGCCGCCGCGGUAA